AAGUUCGAGUGGGACAAUUAAACAAUCACAAUCCUUGUCUACAAUGGGUCGAAUACGUGGGUUUCUCCCAGUUGCUUUAGCUGUAGGAUUUGGUGUCCUCAAUGGAUAUGUGACAUUCGCGCCCUCGUUUAUGAGUCUAGAGGCAGAUAAAAAGCAUGAGAAGACACACGGGAAUGAAUCAGCAACACCAUCACAACCAUCCCAGCCAAAGUCGACCACGAACAAUGUGACUGCUACUUCUGAAAUUAAUAGCACGCCUAAAACCACACCAGAAUCUCCCAAAAAGUAACCAGAAGUUGCUAAGCGAAAGCUACUUCCGCAAUCUGUGGAAUGAAGCCAAAAUCACACGGUUGUUGACGGUCCUAUGAACAAACCAUACGAUAUGAUUAUGUCUUCUCACAUAGACAUUGGAGACUGACACAGGACGGCUCCUGUAGAAAUUAAGGCAAUUUACGAUAGUGAGAUGAAACGUUUCUUCCCGGUUCCAUUAAGUGACAUUUAGAAGGAAAAGUGAAGAAUAGAUAUCGCCCUAUUCUAUCAACAUCAAAGAGGUAAAGAGGAUAGAAUCUUUGAACCAAAUCUCCCGGCUUCCUCUGAACCAUAUCUUUACAGCUUCCUAGAAUUUUUGGAAAUAUGAAUAUGAUGUGAUCCGGGCGAUAUAAAGAAGAGUAUGACCUAUGGAGUGCUUUUGGCCGGGAGAUGUUUCAGUAGCAAAGACCGAAACGCCAGCCACGCUCCUCAAACACAUGGGAAAUCAGGGCCUGACAAAAAUUUUUGAAAAGCUAUUUCGAAGAAAGUACACAAAGAGCCCUGGGCUAAAGGGGGAUACAGUGCCAAGCUUUUAAAUAUAUCAUUUUUGAGGAUAGCUGUAAUAGGGAUGCUCUCUGGUGUUACAAUCCUACGAAGUGUUUUUUUUUUCUUUCCCUUUUUUUGCACAGGUUCGGGAGCGCCGAUAUAUAUUAUCGCACUAUUAAAAUGCCUUGCCCAAACGAUGACUAACAAAUAACAACACCUUUUUGAGAGUAAUAUACAUCAUGACCAUAUUCAGUUGCUUCCCGAAAAAGGUCAUCCCACACAUUAAAAAUGACCCCAAAACCGAAUAAACUGAACGCCUUGCUUUAUAAAAAGAAGAAAGCAUGAAAAGAACACUGCCAUCUUCAAUGUUUUAGACUUCUUCCACAAGUUUGUGACCCUGGCUAGGCCCAGAGCUCCCGUUCAUGGGCAUAUCUUCAAAGAUCCGCCCGGCAGGGGUCCCAAACCACUCCUGCGGAAUCCCAAUCCGACAGCCAUCACGGUUCGAAACAUAGCGUAUCAUAAUUGGGUCAGGUUUUUCAGGCUCCUGUAACUCUUGGGUUCCAGGGGUUGUGUCCCCAGCUGCUGGUUCGGCUGCCGAGAUCUUGCCCCGUCGUUUGGGGGCCUGUUUCUUGAGUAAUUUGUUGAUUGUAUCCAUCUUUUCUUCUUCAUUGCGCUUCUCGCUGAGAUUUUUCCGUCGUCGUGCCAUUUCAGCUCGCCGCAUAGCAUGCUCUUCUGCAGUCAGGUGUCUCUUCACCUGCGGUUCCAUUGGCAACUGUAAGAAGUCACCCCCAAGCUCCAUACGGCCUCUCUGCCGUUUAGUCAUUUUUGUUACGUCGGGAGUACUUGCUCGACUGCCAGUAAUAGGAGUGCCGCUGUCACUUUCUAACUCUUCUUCUUCCUCGUCCUCGUCGUCCUCUAUCUCUUCCUCUUCUACAAUCUCUGAAGCUUCAUCCGCCAUGGCCGUUUCAUCCGGUUCCCCAUCGGCAUCAGCAUCGGAAUCUAAUUCCGAAAGUUCUUCAUCGUCGUCUUCGUCGUCGCCAUCAAGGUCCAUAUUCGUGUUCAUAUUCUUCAGCCUGCUACCCCCGGCGGGCGUAACUGUAACAAUCGGCCGUGACGCCGCCUGUUUGGCGCCUGGGGCAAUUGGCGGUAUAUCAUCCAUAUCAACAUCGGCAUCGGCAUCAGUCUCAGCAUCUGCAUCGACGUCGACAUCGGCAUCGUCAUCCUCACUCUCAUUUCCGUUUCCUUCAUCAUCCGUCCCAUCCGCAUCAGACAUAUGCGACUCUUCCUCAUCAUCUUCAUUCAUCGAUUCGUCAACAUCCUCAUCCUCAUCUGUAUCCACUUCCACUAGCGUCUUCUUCGAUCGACUAUUCCUAGGUCCGGUCAUAAUCACCGAUUCUGUAAAAAUAUUGUGAUGCCGUUUAUCAGGACCACCAGUAACCUCUUUGAGCUUACUUGAGGGCAUUUUAACUUUCAGACGAAUAGAUUUGUUUACGUCCUUAGGGGGGCUGGGCGGCAGACGGGACACGGUGACUGAUGGCGAGGACAGAGUCUCGUCUCCGGCCCUGCGAGAUCUAGAAGAUUUUGGUUGACUUGGGGUCUGGGGUUGCCAGUCGUCGCUAUUUUCGUCCGUGCUGCUGGUGCUGGCGACCUCCGUAUUAUGGUAGUACGACGAUUCAAGGUCAGGCUGUUUCCAAACUCGCGUCAGAGGCCUGUCUGCCAUGGAAUUUCGGUUUUCCAGGCGGUGGGAGGGAUAGAAGGCGGAUACCGGGUGAGAAUAAGCUCACGGCCACCUGGACUCGAGACGGGCCAAAUCGCAUUGGAAAACUUAAAUUCUCAGCGUAUCAAUGACCGCGAAGGGGGGUCCAGGGC
rnacentral:sRNA from 2 species